CAAAACGUAGCUUAAACCAAAGCAUCCAGCUUACACCCGGAAGAUCUCACAAUAAAUGAUCGUUUUGA
rnacentral:tRNA from 1 species